AACGCGAAGAACCUUACCUGGGCUCGAAAUGCAGGAGACUGGGGUGGAAACAUCCCUUCCCCUUAAAAGGCUGCUGCAUAGGUGCUGCAUGGCUGUCGUCAGCUCGUGUCGUGAGAUGUUGGGUUAAGUCCCGCAACGAGCGCAACCCUUAUCCCUAGUUGCCAUCGGGUCAAGCCGGGCACUCUAGUGAAACUGCCUGGGAUAACCAGGAGGAAGGUGGGGAUGACGUCAAGUCCUCAUGGCCUUUAUGUCCAGGGCUACACACGUGCUACAAUGGUCGGUACAAACCGUCGCAAACCCGUGAGGGGGAGCUAAUCGGAAAAAGCCGGCCUCAGUUCGGAUUGGAGUCUGCAACUCGACUCCAUGAAGCUGGAAUCGCUAGUAAUCGCGGAUCAGAACGCCGCGGUGAAUACGUUCCCGGGCCUUGUA
rnacentral:rRNA from 1 species